rnacentral:lncRNA from 1 species
UAUAACCAAUCUUCAUUUCAUUGUCGCUGUUAUCUAUAGCCACUUUGAGCUGAUAAACACAAGAAAACUUUAUUUUAUUAAAAUUCAUGCAUUUCUUCAAACAUUUACUAAGUAAUAUGUGAAGAGAUGUCCAAUUUACAGAGUUUCUCUAACACCUAUAGUGACUAUCCUAUUAAUAGCAAAAACACGAAGCAAACAAAAUAACAGAAGCACAAGUGGAAGAAGUGAAAGAAAGAGAAUGAAGCUCACACAUAGUUUCGAUGAAGAUGCUCAAAAGUAAACACACACAGGGACAAAUUCUGCGGUGGUGGAGGAGGUGUGGGAAGUUAAAUGUUAAUUGUGUCAUAGUUAAAAAUGGAACAGAGCUCUGUCUUCUUACAAUAAGCCUGCUGGCAGGGAGUAAGCUUUGAAUUAACUGUAUGUAUC